rnacentral:rRNA from 1 species
GUAAGUGGCAAGCGUUGUCCGGAAUUAUUGGGGCGUAAAGCGCGCGCAGGCGGUUCUUUAAGUCUGAUGUGAAAGCCCACGGGCUCAACCGUGGAGGGUCAUUGGAAACUGGAGAACUUGAGUACAGAAGAGGAAAGCGGAAUUCCACGUGUAGCGGUGAAAUGCGUAGAGAUGUGGAGGAACACCAGUGGCGAAGGCGGCUUUCUGGUCUGUAACUGACGCUGAGGCGCGAAAGCGUGGGGAGCAAACAGGAUUAGAUACCCUGGUAGUCCACGCCGUAAACGAUGAGUGCUAAGUGUUAGGGGGUUUCCGCCACUUAGUGCUGCAGCUAACGCAUUAAGCACUCCGCCUGGGGAGUACGGCCGCAAGGCUG